CGCGGGUGGAGCAGCCCGGUAGCUCGUCGGGCUCAUAACCCGAAGGUCGUCGGUUCAAAUCCGGCCCCCGCAACCA
rnacentral:tRNA from 1 species